UACGGAGGGUGCAAGCGGUAAUCGGAAUUACUGGGCGUAAAGCGCACGCAGGCGGUCUGUCAAGUCGGAUGUGAAAUCCCCGGGCUCAACCUGGGGACUGCAUUCGAAACUGGCAGGCUAGAGUCUUGUAGAGGGGGGUAGAAUUCCAGGUGUAGCGGUGAAAUGCGUAGAGAUCUGGAGGAAUACCGGUGGAGAAGGCGGCCCCCUGGGCAAAGACUGACGCUCAGGUGCGAAAGCGUGGGGAGCAAACAGGAUUAGAUACCCUGGAAGUCCACGCCGUAAACGAUGUCGAUUUGGAGGUUGUGCCCUUGAGGCGUGGCUUCCGGAGCUAACGCGUUAAAUCGACCGCCUGGGGAGUACGGCCGCAAGGUUAAA
rnacentral:rRNA from 1 species